rnacentral:rRNA from 1 species
UACGAAGGGGGCUAGCGUUGUUCGGAAUUACUGGGCGUAAAGCGCGCGUAGGCGGACCAUCAAGUCAGGGGUGAAAGCCUGGAGCUUAACUCCAGAACUGCCUUUGAUACUGUUGGUCUUGAGGUCGGGAGAGGUGAGUGGAACUGCGAGUGUAGAGGUGAAAUUCGUAGAUAUUCGCAAGAACACCAGUGGCGAAGGCGGCUCACUGGCCCGAUACUGACGCUGAGGCACGAAAGCGUGGGGAGCAAACAGG